GAACCCAGGGCCUCAGGCAUGCAAGGCAAGCGCUCUACCACUGAGCCACCUUCCCAAUCUGCAAUCUGCUUUUUUAUGUGAGAAUCUCAAACUUUAAAAUGUUUGCAAAGAAUUGCAAAUACCUUUAAAACACUGUACAGACUGUGGAAGUCAGAGCAGAAAAAUGGUUCCUUCCAGCCUAGGUCCUGAACAGCAGGUUAAAUAUCACUGACAACUUGUUAGAAAUGUAAAUUUGUACCAAUUGAAUCAGAAACUCAUAUGGUCUGGCAGUCAAUAUGUACUGUAGAUAUUCUGAUAAUAGCUAAUUUUGAGAAGCAAUGAAAAAGAGUGUUUUAGAACUGAGUUAGGUGCCUAACAUGGUAGAUUUUUAAAAAAUUUUGUUAAAAGAUGAUGUGGAUGGGUAACAGUGAUUUGAGGAAUAUCAAUUUAGAUGUUAGUUUGAGGCAGAUUAUGGAUUAUAUUUACAGAGUCGGUCUUUGAAGACGCUGAAGACUUUUAUUGAUUAUGGGAAUGAUAUGAUUAGAGUGAUUUAGGAAGAAUAGGCAUUGAAGUCAGAGUAAAUCAGAAUUUUAGGUUAUGGCAAUCUAUAGAAAUAGAAAAGAAACUAAACUCUUAUGGAUACUGUUAGCCUGUUACUUAAUUUUAUUAGUUGACUUUAAAAAAGCAUUUUAUACUUGUUAUAGAGUUAAAAAACUUUUAUUAUAGAAGUAUCUGUAUCUGUAUGAUAUAUUCUUGUGAUAGUUUUAUCUUUUAAUCUCUGCUAUGAUUGUUUUGUGUGUAAUGAAUCUUCUAAUUUGAGGUAAUAUUUUUAUAAUACAAUUCUAGUAAAUAUACCUUUACAGUAGAAAACUUUAAUUUUUUGAAAUUAUUAAAAGAAAAUUGCUAUAUGAAAUGUAAUAUAAUUUCAGCAUGCUUAAAACUCGAAAUCAGUUAUGAAUAUUUGAGUGUUGACUGUAUAUCAAAAUCAAUUUACCAAAAUGUGUUUUGUGCAGUAUUCAUUCUGUGAAAGGUUUUUAGAAAAUAGUUCUAUGUUCCCCAUAGUCCAACAUACUCUUUUUUAAAUAGUUGGUUCUAAAAUCAAGUGUGGAAAGUAAAAAAAAAAAGAGGGGGGGGUCCAACCAUGCCUUAGAAAAUUCUUUCAUUGUUCAUAAACUAAUUAGCAUUAUCUGUUACAAUCAUAUUUUCCUGUGGCAAUGUUCAAGGUUGGUUAAUAUUUCUUUGGUAGUAGGAGGUGAUACAAUUUAUUAGUAGUUGGUGUCUGUAUAGAAUAAAGAAACAUUUUUAUGUAUUUUUGAAUUACAUUCAUUGCAGUGAGUUUGCUGAAUUUUUCUGAGUCAUUGUUUAAUUUUAAUUUGCAAAAGUUUAAAUUCUCCAUUCUCUAAUCACCUCUUCCAGGAAAGAUUACCAUAGUAAAGGAGAUUAUUUGUAUUCUUGGGUACAUGGUUCCAAGAAGUCCAUUGUUGAGGAAAAACUGAAUGCUUAGGAUACAUGCUCAGUGCUGUAUUGCAGUUGCUUGAUUCAUUUUUUCCCUAACAUUACUCAGCUCUCUUAAAGCCUUUCAUCUUUCAACAAAUCUUAUUCAUUUUAUCAGUUAAUUUCUUUGUCUUGCUUGUUGGGCAUGUUUUCACAGAAUUGAGAGCAGGAAAACACUUAGCAGAUCACACAAAUAUUUAAACACAACUGGCAAUAAAAAGGACUGAACAAGAGCUUAUUCACAUCGACUGAACUGUUAUGUGCAUGUGUGGGAGUUGUUUCUUGACUAUGCUUGGUUAAGACUACAUAUAAUAAAUUCAUGAAUCAGGUAGCCUUACUGGUAUACUUUGUGAGAAUUCCUGAGUAAAACAAAUUAUUUGUCUGGCCUGGUGGAUCAUGAUCCUCCUACUUAAACCUCCAGUGUGUCUAGGAUCACUGACUUAAAGCCGUUGUAUCUGACUGAUUUGUUGAGAUUGGAUCAGUGUUAUUUCAUUUUUGUAUCAUUCUUUGUUUCCCUUCUUGUGUGAAAAUGUUUAAAAUGAGUUACUUUCCAUGUGCCUUUUUAUUUGAAGAGUAAUGUCAGAUUUUAAAUAAAUUUGUUUAAAUGUCUGGGUGCAAUAAAUUGUAUUUAUAUGGAUGAUGAUGAUUAGAUGAAUACUUUGUUAAUACAUGUUCUUUUAAGUGUAAGAAUAUGUUAUACUAAUUUGUAUACUCUUACUAUAAAAAUUCAGUAUCAUAGAGGUUAAAAUUUUUUGGUGAGGCAUAAUUGAAAUAAAUUUAUUUAAAUGAUUGUAUUAUAAUUGAUACCAAGUGUACUCAAUACUUUUUUCAAAUGUUAGAAUCACAAAUUCAAAAUUAAUAUUUGAUGGUAAGUUUGGUUGUAAGUACUUCAACGAAAGUUAAAUGAUAAAUGAAAUACAAAAUACAAGAGUGGAUUCCCUUUUCUUUUCUUUUCUUUUUUUUUGAGACAGGAUCUUUCUGUGGUAGCCCAGGCUGCCCUUGAUUCUCCUGCUUCAGCUUCCUGAUUGCUGGGUCUAUGGGUAUCUCGGCACAAGCCUAUAAAUUCUAGCACUUGAGAGCAUGAUACAGGAGGAUUAUGAAUUUGAGUUGAUCCUGGAACAUGGUCAGAACUUGUUUCCAAAAGGGAAAAAAAAAGCCCUAGCUAAGUUUUAUUUCUUAGAAUUUCACAAAAUUAUAAUCAUAUUGUUAUUUCUACCUUAAAACAUUCAAGUGGGUUAAUAUUCUAAAUUUUCCUUUUUUAAAUUAGCCUACCUUACUUUUAAUGUGUGUAUUUCAUUGUUCUUCUUUUUAAUAAAAACCUAACAUUUUUAAUACUUAUUUUCAACUAUCCUUUUAUCAGUAGUUCACUUUUUAUUGCUCUGUAGUAUCCUGUUGUACAAAUAUAUCAGCUUGUUUGUCUAUUUUCCCUUGUUAGAUUUAUGGAUGAUUUUUGGAUGUUAGAUAAAAAUAUUCCAUUAAUAUUCUGUAUAACUUUCUUGUGGACAUAAUGCUAGAAAAGGGAAAAUAUACAUUUAAUCUUUAAGAAACUGGCACCUUUUCCAAAGUGAUUGUACAAUUUUAACUUCCAUGAACAGUGUUGAGUUUUUAAAAAAAUAAAAUUUGCAUGUUCAAUAA